UACAAAAGCGUACAAGACUACUUUUUGUUAAAGAUUUCAAGUGAUUUUGAAAAACUUUUCCAUUUUUUUCCACUCAAAGAUUUUUCCCCAUUCAAAUUCUCUUAAUCAAGAAUUGUUUCAAAUUUUAUUUUUAAAUUUCAUCAUCAAAAUUUUGUAAUUGCAUAUUUUGUUUUUAUAGUUUUAGCAAUGUUCUUUCUUUCCACUAUUUUUUUUUUUUUUUUGUGAAAUUUUAUCCAAAUGAAUCUAUAUUUAAAAUUAUAAUCAUAUUUAUCAAAUUUUUUACUAAGAUUAUCUUUAAUUCUUUUAAUAUAUUUAUACUCAUUUAUUUAAAAAAUGAAAAACUAAUUUAUUUAUUUUUUUGUAAACAUGUUCUAUUACCUUUCAAGUAAAAAAUUAAAUACCACUUUCAAUAAUUUUUAGAUAAAAUUUUAUAUAACAUAUUUUAUUUGAAAUUUAAUUUCUAAAGUUUCACUAAAAAAUUGUAUUGACAAAUUUCUUGUUGUGAGCCAAAAUACUUUGCAUUAGUUUAUCUAAAUAAAAAAAAUAUUAAUAUCAUAUUAGAAUUUUAUAUCUUAAUUAUUUUUUCAAUUAAUUUAUCUUUUUAAAAAUUUUAAAAUAAAAAUAUUAAAAAUUAAAAAUCUAAAAGAAUAUAUAUAUAUAUAUAUAAGUGAUAGUCCAUUUUUAAAUUUUUUUUUAAAUUUGGUUAAUGUGGAAAAUAUAAAAAAUAAUUAAAAAUAAAAAAUAUAUAAAUGAAAGGGUAAUAUAAAUUUAAAAUAAAAAAUGAAAAUUAAACUAAAAGAUUAAAAAAAAUAUUUGGAUGAAAAAUCCUAAAAAUUUUAUACUUAAAAAAAAUAUUAUUGUUUUUUAUUGGACAUCAAAUAGAAAUACAGAUGAAAAGAGAAAAAAAAAAAAAAAGUAAAAAAUGAGUAAUAAGGAAUAGGAAAGAGAAAAAAUAUAAAAAAAAAUUAAAAUUUAAUAAGUGUCUAUUAAGGGGAUAAUACCCUUUUAACUUAAUUUUUACCCUUUAUUUGGAUCUCGAGGCACGGUAAACGGAUCUUUGAUAAAUUUUGUGGCUGAUAUCACCUCCAAAGGCAAUUCUCCCGACCAAAAAACUGAAGCAGGCCAGAACUUUCAGGACACUUUGCGACGGCCAAUCAAUUUUAGUGUGGAAACCCGUGUCGGCCAAGCAAUUUUAGUGUGGAAACUUCAGGGCCCCGUUCAGAUUCUCAAACAGUCUUACCUCACCCAUUACGUCAGCCCAGACAAACCCCCACUCUGCUACUAUAAAUCACACCAUCUGCAGUCCCAUUCUUCAUUUCCUCUCUUAGAGUACUAUCAUUCAUUCUCUUAGCUUCACACAUAAUUUCUCAUCCAGAAAAGAGAAGAGAAUGGCAAAAUCACCGGAGCAGCAGCACCCCACCAAGGCCUUUGGAUGGGCAGCCACUGACCCGUCUGGCGUCCUCUCCCCCUUCAAAUUCUCCAGAAGGUCUUUGCAUCUUCUACCUUGUUUUGUUUUACAGACAGUUAAAAGAAUAUGAUGCCUCCUCUCGUUUCAUUUCCUUAGUUAUAAUAAGAUUUGCAUUUGUCUCAUGCAAGAAAUCGUAAUGUUUUGCAUGAUUUCAAUCUAUAGGUGAAGAUUAUGUUUCAUUGUGGUUUUUUACAUGAAUGAAGAUGAUAAUGGGGUUUUCAUGAAAAAAUUGAUGUCUUGCAGGGCAACCGGGGAAAAGGAUGUAAGGUUCAAGGUGCUCUACUGUGGAAUAUGUCACUCCGAUCUACAUAUGGUCAAGAAUGAAUGGGGCUCUUCCACCUACCCUCUAGUUCCUGGGUAUGUUCCCUGUUCUCUUUCCCUCCUUGCAAUUUUCUUUCCAACUUUUUCCUUGUUGAUCCUUGUAUGAGUGUAUCUACAAAUGUUUUACAAAGAUCUAAAGCUUAAAAGGUGUAGAUUGGCCAAUAUGGGAUUCAGACUGAGCUCCUAGGUUUCACUGACAUGACAUUCGAAUGAAAAAUAGGAGGUUGUCAAUUAGGAAUGUCGAGCCCUUUUAGAUGGAAAAAAGAAAUGGUUUGACCAGAAUUAAGAAACAUUGUACUUGAUCAUAUCUGAUAUGUGAUUUAAUAUUUUUUAAUUUGACUAGAAGAAUGUUCAUAUUUCCUACGGCUUUCAAGUUUCAACAUCUUGUACUGGAGUCCAUUUUCAUCCCCAAAGCCUGAAUCUUGUGGCUUUCUUUUCCACGGCUCAUUAGAAAUAUAAACGAGACGAUAUAAGGAAAGCUAACAAAAAGGUUCUUGUUUCAAAGUGCGCUUUUUCAUGUUCAAAAAGCAAGAUGCUGAUCACCUCCAUAGAUAAUACUAUCAAAUUAUCUUUUUCAUGAACUAUAUAUUUUUCCUUAAUCACACAUCUAAUACCCAUAGAAACUGAAUUGGACAAUGCAGGCAUGAGAUUGUAGGCAUAGUGACAGAGUUGGAAGCAAGGUGAAAAGCUUAAAGUAGAGAAUAAAGUUGGUGNNNNNNNNNNNNNNNNNNNNNNNNNNNNNNNNNNNNNNNNNNNNNNNNNNNNNNNNNNNNNNNNNNNNNNNNNNNNNNNNNNNNNNNNNNNNNNNNNNNNAUAAUAAGAUUUGCAUUUGUCUCAUGCAAGAAAUCGUAAUGUUUUGCAUGAUUUCAAUCUAUAGGUGAAGAUUAUGUUUCAUUGUGGUUUUUUACAUGAAUGAAGAUGAUAAUGGGGUUUUUAUGAAAAAAUUGAUGUCUUGCAGGGCAACCGGGGAAAAGGACGUAAGGUUCAAGGUGCUCUACUGUGGAAUAUGUCACUCCGAUCUACAUAUGGUCAAGAAUGAAUGGGGCUCUUCCACCUACCCUCUAGUUCCUGGGUAUGUUCCCUGUUCUCUUUCCCUCCUUGCAAUUUUCUUUCCAACUUUUUCCUUGUUGAUCCUUGUAUGAGUAUCUACGAAUGUUUUACAAAGAUCUAAAGCUUAAAAGGUGUAGAUUGGCCAAUAUGGGAUUCAGACUGAGCUCCUAGGUUUCACUGACAUGACAUUCGAAUAAAAAAUAGGAGGUUGUCAAUUAGGAAUGUCGAGCCCUUUUAGAUGGAAAAAAGAAAUGGUUUGACCAGAAUUAAGAAACAUUGUACUUGAUCAUAUCUGAUAUGUGAUUUAAUAUUUUUUAAUUUGACUAGAAGAAUGUUCAUAUUUCCUACGGCUUUCAAGUUUCAACAUCUUGUACUGGAGUCCAUUUUCAUCCCCAAAGCCUGAAUCUUGUGGCUUUCUUUUCCACGGCUCAUUAGAAAUAUAAACGAGACGAUAUUAGGAAAGCUAACAAAAAGGUUCUUGUUUCAAAGUGCGCUUUUUCAUGUUCAAAAAGCAAGAUGCUGAUCACCUCCAUAGAUAAUACUAUCAAAUUAUCUUUUUCAUGAACUAUAUAUUUUUCCUUAAUCACACAUCUAAUACCCAUAGAAACUGAAUUGGACAAUGCAGGCAUGAGAUUGUAGGCAUAGUGACAGAGGUUGGAAGCAAGGUGGAAAAGCUUAAAGUAGGAGAUAAAGUUGGUGUUGGGUGUAUGGUUGGAGCUUGCCACUCUUGUGAUAAUUGUGCUAAUGAUCUAGAAAAUUACUGCCCCAAAAUGAUAUUAACCUAUGGUGCCACUUACUAUGAUGGAACCACCACAUAUGGAGGCUACUCGGAUGUCAUGGUUGCUGAGGAGCGCUAUGUGGUUCGAUUCCCGGACAACCUUCCUCUUGAUGCCGGUGCUCCUCUCCUAUGUGCUGGGAUCACAGUGUACAGCCCCUUGCAACAUUUUGGAUUCACCAAACCUGGAAUGCACAUAGGUGUGGUUGGCCUAGGUGGGCUGGGACAUGUAGCAGUGAAGUUUGCUAAGGCUUUUGGGGUUAAGGUGACAGUGAUCAGUACUUCCCCUAGCAAGAAGAAGGAAGCCACAGAACACCUUGGUGCUGACUCCUUUCUAGUCAGCCGUGACCCAGAUCAGAUGCAGGUAACUUGAGUAUGCUGCGGCGGUAUUACUGUUUUUGUAACUUCUUUGGUGAUUCUUUAGUUUAUAAUGGAUUUCUGAACUUGAAUUUUUAUAGGCUGCCUUGGGCACAAUGGAUGGCAUCAUUGAUACAGUCUCUGCAGUUCACCCUCUUUUUCCAUUGAUUGGUUUGCUGAAAUCUCAUGGGAAGCUAGUUAUGGUUGGUGCACCAGAUAGACCACUUGAGCUACCAAUCUUUCCUUUGCUUAUGGGUAAGCAAUUUACUCCCCCAUGUCUUAACUUGUUCUACAAGGAACAAAAAUUGGAUUAAUGGUAGCUUAUAUUGAUGCCACCUAGCUAUUACUUCACCAAGAAUACUCUAUUUUGAAAAAUCCAUUUGUAUCCACAAUUUUGUAUGUAACAAUUACUAUAAGAAAAAAGAAAGAGGGGGGAAGGAACUCAAAUCAGUGAGAAUGUGUAUCUAACAGGAAUUUGAAUGGCAGGGAGAAAGAUAGUAGCUGGUAGCUGCAUAGGAGGGAUGAAGGAGACACAGGAAAUGAUUGAUUUUGCAGGAAAACACAACAUAACGGCAGAUGUUGAGGUUAUUUCAAUCGACUAUGUGAAUACUGCCAUGGAGCGACUCCAGAAGGCUGAUGUUAGGUACCGGUUCGUGAUAGACAUUGGCA
rnacentral:lncRNA from 1 species